rnacentral:rRNA from 1 species
UAGCAUGGAAUAAUGGAAUAGGACGUGCGGUUCUAUUUUGUUGGUUCUAGGACCGCCGUAAUGAUUAAUAGGGAUAGUCGGGGGCGUCAGUAUUCAGCUGUCAGAGGUGAAAUUCUUGGAUUUGCUGAAGACUAACUACUGCGAAAGCAUUUGUCAAGGACGUUUUCAUUAAUCAAGAACGAAAGUUAGGGGAUCGAAGAUGAUCAGAUACCGUCGUAGUCUUAACCAUAAACUAUGCCGACUAGGGAUUGGGCGACGCCUAUGUAAAUGACGCGCCCAGCACCUUACGAGAAAUCAAAGUUUUUGGGUUCUGGGGGGAGUAUGGUCGCAAGGCUGAAACUUAAAGGAAUUGACGGAAGGGCACCACCAGGAGUGGAGCCUGCGGCUUAAUUUGACUCAACACGGGGAAACUCACCUGGUCCAGACACAAUAAGGAUUGACAGAUUGAGAGCUCUUUCUUGAUUUUGUGGGUGGUGGUGCAUGGCCGUUCUUAGUUGGUGGAGUGAUUUGUCUGCUUAAUUGCGAUAACGAACGAGACCUUAGCUUUUAUUUGCGCAGCCUAACUUUGUUGGGUUUGCGCCAUAAAAGGACUAUCGAAUCAAGUCGAUGGAAGUUUGAGGCAAUAACAGGUCUGUGAUGCCCUUAGACGUUCUGGGCCGCACGCGCGCUACACUGACGGAGCCAGCGGGUUACCUUAGCCGAGAGGUUUGGGAAAUCUUGAGAAACUCCGUCGUGCUGGGGAUAGAGCAUUGCAAU